ACCCGAGAAUCGAACCGGAGAACCUCUUGCUGUGAAGCGACAACACAACUGCUGCACCACUUUGCCGUCCAUUUGCUGCAAAACACGUUUUUUUUUUUUUUUUUUUUUUCAGUUUUUGGGUGCAGUUCUCCUUUAAAACGUGGACACUUUGUCUUCAUCUGUCUCAAACUAGUGUUUCUUCAUUGUUUAUCUUUUUUUUUUUUUUUUUUCCAAUUUUUAUAAAAUGUGUAAACUCUAUAUACUCAGGGUGCUACGCAUUAGGUAAGGCCUGCAUAACGUCAUACUUUUCCUGCAGACUUGCUUUUAAACUGUGCCAGAUUUUAUAAACUGCUGUGCAGAUGUUUCAGUGUGCAAUCAGGCUACUGGUUUGGUAGGUAAAGUCACAGAUGCUUUAAUUGCAUUUCUUUUAGUAAAUUAUACAUUAAUCCUUUUCACUAUUUUGCAAGUCACAUCUCUGUGAGGAAUUGUGCUACAGCAUUGUGAUCGUGAGAUAUCUGAGUUUAAGAUUGGUUUAAUGUUGCUACUGAAAUUAAGACAUGCCAGACCAUACUGAAGUUUCAAGUUCUGUUUUGCAUACAGGUGCCUGCAGUUUUGGGUACAUCAAAACUGCUUGGUACUUUUUACAUUUUAUAUAGUCCACUGCUUAGUUAUUUUUACAUUUGGUCUUAUCUUGUUCUCAUUAUAAUUUGUGCUAUAUUUGUCUUCACCCCAGUUGAGAAUUGCAACUUUUUUUAUGCCACCAACAAAACCCUGCUGCAUUUCCAAUGAGGAAGCUAAGGCUUGCCAUCUCACCAAUACUGUCCAUGCCAUUGAUAAGGUCAGUAUUUCUCAUUAAAUGGGUAUGAAGGUGGCGGCAAGCUGUUUUGGUGGCUUUGCUGCCAGAAGGAAGAAUAUAUUCAAAAACAUGCAGUCUGUACUCAUUUAAAGACAAGGAAGCAUUUGCAACAAAAAUGAGGUGCACAAGCAUCCAUAAAGGUAGCAGCAAGGCCAGCAAGCGCUGACAACUUUACGCCUUUAACUGGGUCAAGAAAAGAAACGCAACAAUUCACAAUUAAUCUUUUUCAUGUCGUAACUCCAUCCCUUUGGAGAAAGUUUUAACGUUUAUUUUCUCUAUCAGAACACCAGGCAAAGUUGUAGUCUUUCUGAACCUAUACAGCUCAGAACUGUCUACUUGUAAGAAGUGUCCUUGACAUGAAUCUUUUCUGAAACAGCAGAUUAAAAAUGAGAAGGCUUUUAUUUUCCUGGAUGAGAUCAGAUUCCUGUUAAUUCGGUUUGCUGGCCAUUUUGAAGUAAUAACUCAGAAGCUGCCAGAAAAAUUUGUCCGUUUGGGUAGUUAUGUUGCAAAGCAGUACCAGAAUAGAAUGGAUUAUUUAACGGCAUCUUUCACUGCCUAUUUCAAAGGGUGUGCAUAUUUUGGUAUCACAUCAACUACUACUACUUUCGUCUGAACAAUAUACAGAGCUUCCAAAAAGCUGAUAAGAUGUGCCUGGUUUUGACUUGUCAAGCAUACAGAAUUACAGCACAGAAAGGAGGACAUCAGCACUGUUGAAUAUUGGGGCAUCGAACAAAUUGCACUGCCAGGUCUUGCAACUAUGUUGCAAAGCAUUACAUGUGGCUCUCAGUUUUGAAAGCAGAUAUAAACUGAACAUUUUCUGAGUAUGCUGGCCUUUUAAAAAGGCAGUAAAAAAAUCAUGUGGGAAGACAAUACUGCUGCUCAUGCUAAAAUUUAACAAGGAUUUCUAUGUUUGGUGCAUGGCAGUUGGUGUUUUGUAUUUUGUCACGUUCCUUAGAAAAUACUGUUAAUAUUUGUAAUUUGUAUGCUUUCUUCCUAGAGGAAUUAAAUUUUUUGUCUUUCUUGAAAA